UUGUUCAUAUUAUACCAAAAGUAGCUAAGUUUCUAUACAUGCCAUACCCAAAACAAAACGUCUAGUUAUACCGAGUUAUUUCUUUGAUAGUGUGAUCGGCCUCCGACGUUUCCUUCGAUCCCCGAGUGACUAGAUAAGUACUGUAAUAAGAAAAAAAUAAAGAGAUUAAGCACUAGGCUUAGUAAGCUUACAAGCAAAUAAAUCACAACAUUCAACAUAAUGGAUAAUUAUGCAUAAUAUCAUCUAACAUCAUAAAUUUAUUUACUUCUCAAUUUCUAUCUUCUUCUUUAUUCCCUUACCUUCUUUCUUACCUGACCUUUCCUUUUUCAUAAGUAUAAUCUACUUUUCCUUUGCUGUUAAUUCACUGUAAUUUAACUCGUAUCCUGACCCGUUGAACCACUCGGAAUACUAAGGAUACCAGGGUCGUUCCUGUCUAUCAAUAUCCUGCCAAUGCCAUAUCUUUGGCAUGGACUUACAUGAAUUAUUCCUGUCUCCAAUGCCAUAUAUAAUAUGGACUUACAUGGCUCAAUCCUGUCUCCAAAGCCAUAUUUCUAAUAUGGACUUACAUGGCUCAUUUCUGUUCUGUCCUGUCAACCCUAAUAUCCUAACAUUCCUAGGGUUCAACCGGGGCUUUCUAACACUUUUCCUCUGUCACUUCACCUUAAAUUCGACUUUAAAUAUUUUCAUAACAUAAUAUAUAAAUGCUGGAAAUUGAAAAUAAUAAUGUAAAAUAAAAGAAUAUUGCAUUUAUUUACUGUAACUUACCUUGAUACAAAAUGUGACUAAACUUUACAAUUUAGUCAUUUACUUUUUCUUUUCCCCGAUCUACUCCCGAAUUUCGUUCUUCUUGAUCUAUAAUAGCAAAUUUAAAUUAUUUAAUAUUCACAUUUAUUAAAACAGUCCUUGACCCAACUUUUGCAAAAUUAUAUUUUUACCCUUAAACUUUCACAUAUUUGCACUUUUGCCCCAAGGCUCGUAAAUUAAACUUCAUCCUAUUUUCUUAUGUUUUAUGACAUGCUGAUCAUUUUUCCCUUCUAUGGCAAUAUCAAAAUCACACUCUAACAUAUACUUAUGACUAUUGGUAUUUUUUUCCAAUUUAAGCCAUUUUACUCGUUUUCACUUAAAACCAAGUAGCAUAAGUUGUUUAACAUAAUUUAAAACCUCAUGUUCUAUCAUAAAACACCAAAAUACACAAAUUUCAGCCAUGGGUAUUUUUCCAAAUAUGAACCCUAGGUUGAAUUAUUGCUAGAAUAAACUUAAUCAAGUUACCGGGACUCCAAAAACGUAAAGAUCAUUAAAAACGGGGCUUGGAAUCACUUACUAUGAAACUUGAAAGUUGAAGAAACCCCAGCUAUGGAGGAGAGCAAAAAUCGCCAGAAACUAAUUGAGAAGAUAACCAUUUUUGUGUUAUUUUUCCCUUUUUAAUUCAUUUAAUAUCCAAAUGACCAAAUUACCCCUCCUUACUAAACUUUCAAAAAUUCCUUCCAUGUCCUAAUUUUUGUCCAUGAACUUAAAAUUGGUCAAAUUGUUAUUUAAACCCUCCUAAUUAAUAUUCCAAAGUAAUUUCAUACUAAAAACUUCUAGAAUGCAAGUUUUGCAAAUUAUUCGAUUUAGUCCCUAACCUCAACUUAAGCACUUUAUGCAUAGAAUUUCAUCACGAAAUUUUCACACAAUCAUGCAAUCAUACCAUGAACCUCAAAAUAAUAAUAAACUAAAUUUUUCUACCUCAAAUUUGUGGUUUCGCAACCACUAUUCCGUUUAGGCCCUAUUUCGGGAUGUUACAUUUCUUCCCCCUUUUAGGGAUUUUCGUCCCGAAAAUCUUACCUGUGAAAAGAUUUGGGUACUGUUUUCGCAUAGCCUCUUCGGGUUCCCAUGUAGCUUUAUCUACCCCGUGUCUAUUCCAUAGUACUUUCACAAGUGCAAUACUUUUAUUCCUUAAUUGUUUACCUCUCGAGCUAGAAUCUUUACCGGUUCUUCACCGUAAGUCAUGUCUGGCUGAAUCUCAACCUCUGUUUGAGAAAUCACAUGUGACGGAUCUGAACGAUAACGACGUAGCAUAGACACAUGAAAUACAUUAUGAAUCUUCUCUAACUCAAUCGGCAAAGCUAACCGAUAUGCUAAUGGUCCGACUCUCUCAAUUACUUCAAACGGUCCAAUAAAACGUGGACUUAGUUUGCCUUUCUUGCCAAAUCUGAGAACUUUCUUCCACGGGGAUACUUUCAAAAAAACUUUGUCACCAACUUGAUAUUCGAUCUCUUUUCUUUUUAAAUCUGCAUACGACUUCUGCCUGUCUGAAGCUGCUUUUAAACAAUUUCUGAUAACUUUCACUUUUUCUUCUGUUUCUUUAACUAAAUCAACCCCGUAAAUCUGGCUUUCUUUAAGCUCUGUCCAAUAUAAAGGUGUACGACAUUUACGUCCAUACAAAGCUUCAUAAGGUGUCAUCUUCAAACUUGACUGGUAACUAUUAUUAUAGGCAAACUCUACCAAUGGUAAGUAUUUUUCCCAACUACCUUGAAAUUCUAAUACACAACAUCUAAGCAUAUCUUCAAGUACCUGAAUAACUCUCUCUGACUGACCGUCGGUUUGAGGAUGGAAAGCUGUACUAAAACUCAACUUUGUGCCCAAAGCCUCUUGUAAUUUCUUUAAAAACCUUGAAGUAAAUCUUGGAUCUUUGUCUGAAAUGAUCGAUAAUGGUACCCCAUGUAGCCUGACUAUCUCUGAAAUAUACAACUCGGCCAACUUGUCAAGUGAAUAACCCAUAGGAACUGGGAUAAAAUAAGCCGACUUCGUUAACUUAUCAAUCACAACCCAUACUGCAUCUUUCUUUCUCGGUGUAAACGGUAAUCCUGUCACAAAAUCCAUAGUAACUCGAUCCCAUUUCCAUUUCGGAACUAGCAUAGGCUGCAAUAAUCCUGAGGGUACCUGAUGUUCGGCCUUUACCUGUUGACAGAUCAAGCAUCUAGAAAUAAACUUUGAAAUAUCUCUUUUCAUUCCUACCCACCAAUACAAUUUCUUCAAAUCAUUAUACAUUUUUGUACUGCCUGGAUGAAUAGAUAAAGGACUGCUAUGUGCUUCCUGUAAAAUCUUCCGAAUAAGCUCAUCAUUCUUUGGUACAUAUAUUCUGUCUCUAAACAUCAAACAAUCAUCAGAACCAAUCCAGAAAUCUGAUUCUAUGCCUGACUCACAUUGAACUCUUUUAGCUUGUAACUCAUUAUCAUCUUUCUGAGCUUCACAAAUCUCUUCAAGAAAUACCGAUUUAGCUCUCAAUUCAGCUAAAAUAGAACCAUCAUCUGACAUGGCUAAAUUGGUAUUCAAAGCUCGCAAUGUAAAUAAAAGUUUCCUACUUAAAGCUUCAGCAACUAUAUUUGCCUUACCUAGGUGAUAAUCAAUCACUAACUCAUAAUCUUUAAGCAAUUCCAACCAUCUUCUUUGCCUCAAAUUCAAAUCUUUUUGAGUCAUCAAGUAUUUCAAGCUUUUAUGAUCGGUAAAUAUCCGGCACCUUUCACCAUACAAAUAAUGUCUCCAAAUCUUCAAUGCAAAUACAAUAGCAGCUAGCUCUAAAUCAUGUGUCGGAUAAUUUUUUUCAUAUGGCAUCAAUUGUCUAGAGGCAUAAGCAAUUACCUUUCCUUCCUGCAUGAGUACACAACCGAGCCCAUUCAAGGAUGCAUCAUUGUAAAUCACAAAUUCUUUACUCGGUUCCGGCUGUACUAAGAUAGGAGCUUCCGUCAACAAUGCCUUUAACUUGUCAAAACUUUGUUGGCACUUUUCAGUCCAUUCAAACUUAACAUCCUUCCGUAGCAGUCUCGUCAACGGAGUAGCUAUCAUGGAAAAUCCCUCUACAAAUCGUCUAUAAUAUCCGGCAAGACCAAGAAAACUUCUAACUUCUGAUACAUUUCUAGGAGGCUUCCAAUCAACAAUGGCUGAAAUCUUGCUCGUAUCAACCUUAAUACCUUCACCUGAGACAAUAUGUCCAAGAAAACCAACUUCUCGUAACCAGAACUCACUUUUGCUGAACUUGGCAUACAACUGAUUAUCUCUCAGAAUUUGUAAAACUGUUCUCAAAUGCUCUGCAUGCUCAGUCUCAUCAUGAGAAUAAAUCAAAAUAUCAUCAAUGAACACAACUACAAACUUAUCUAAGUACGAUCUGAAAAUUCGGUUCAUUAAGUCCAUGAAAAUGGCAGGAGCAUUAGUCAAGCCAAAUGGCAUCAUAAGGAAUUCAUAAUGACCAUACCUAGUUCGGAAAGCAGUCUUCAGGACAUCUGACUCUUUAACUCGCAACUGAUAGUAUCCAGAUCUCAAAUCUAUCUUGGAAAACACAGUAGCUCCCUUCAAUUGAUCAAACAAAUCAUCAAUUCUAGGCAAUGGAUACUUGUUCUUUACUGUUACCUUGUUAAGUUGCCGAUAAUUUAUGCACAAUCUCAUCGAUCCGUCUUUCUUUUUCACAAAUAGCACUGGUGCACCCCAUGGUGAACUACUGGGUCUUACCAAGCCUUUAUCUAUUAAUUCCUGCAACUGAGCUUUCAAUUCUUUCAAUUCCAACGGAGCCAUUCUAUAAGGAGCAAUAGAAAUGGGUGUGGUACCUGGAAUCAACUCAAUACCAAACUCAAGUUCUCUAAUAGGAGGCAAACCUGGUAGUUCUUCCGGAAACACAUCGGGAAACUCACAUACUACAGGCACUGAUUCAAUUUUCAAUUCUGGAUCUUUAGUGUUCAACACAAAAGCAAGAUAAGCUUCAUACCCUUUUCUCAAACAUUUCUGAGCAGACAUAACAGAAAUUAUGGGAAAUAAACUAUCUGACUCUUCUGAAUUAACCCGAAGAAUUUCACCAUUUUCACACUUUAACUCAAUGAAUUUCUUUCCACAAUUCAGUAUCACAUCAUGUGUAGUCAACCAAUCCAUACCAAGAAUCACAUCAUACUCAUCAAAUGGCAAUAGCAUGAGAUCAGCCGGAAAACAGUAGCCUCUAAUCAUUAAAGGACAAUUUCUACAUACUUUAUCUACUAAUACAUGCUUGCCUAAUGGAUUCGAUACUUUAAUCACAAAUUCUGUAGAUUCUAUAGGCAUACUUAUACUAGGCAUCAAUUUCAUACAAACAUAAGAAUGAGUCGAACCCGGAUCAAUCAAAGCAAUGACAUUAAUAUCAUGUAGAGAAAAUGUACCCGUAAUCACAUCGGGGGAGGAUGCCUCUUCGCGUGCACGAAUAGCAUAAGUCCUUGCAGGGGCUCUAACAUCUGGUCUCACUGCCGAAUCUCUAGAGGUACCUCUGUUACUUGCUCCUACUCCCGGUUGCCUCGGUGAUCUGCCUCUAGUAGGAGCAUUUCCGGAUCUAGCACUCUGUGUUACUUCUUGACUAACCACUUCUGGACAUUCUCGUACAAAAUGAUCUGGAGAACCACAUUUAUAGCAAACAUUUUCGCCUGCCCGACAAGGACCAUAAUGAAGUCUACCACACCGUGGACACCCUGAUCUACCCUGUCUAACAUUACCUACACUCGUAGUCGAGGUGGUCUGAGCCUUCGGAUCCUUAAAUCUGCUACCUCUAUUCUGACUAGAUUGCCCUGCCGAAAAGCUAGAUCUGGUACAAAACUCUUUGGGCCUCUUGGAUGUAGCCUGAAAUGAUCUGCUCAUUUGUCUCUUCUUUGUAUCUUGUGUCUCUGUCUCAACUUUGCCUUUUCUUUUUAACAGCUCCUCUGCCUUACAGGCUCUCUCAACUAAAAUAACGAACUCUUUUAUUUCUAGGACACCCACUGACAGUCGGAUAUCAUCAUUUAAACCAUCCUCAAACCUUUUACACAUGAUAGCCUCUGUAGACACACAUUCUCGAGCAUAUUUACUAAGCCUGACAAAUUCGCGCUCAUAAUCGGUCACUGUCAUAGUACCUUGUUUCAAUUCCAGGAAUUCCUUUCUCUUCUGGUCAAUAAACCUCUUACUGAUGUUCUUUUUAUGAAAUUCCUCCUGAAAGAAAUCCCAAGUGACCCUCUCCUUUGGUACAACUGAUACAAGUGUCUUCCACCAGUAGUAGGCUGAGUCUCUAAGAAGUGAUACUACACAUUUCAUACAUUCCUUGGGUGUACAAGAUAAUUCGUUAAAGACUCUGAUAGUAUUUUCUAACCAAAAUUCUGCUCUUUCUGCAUCAUCAUCUUUUGUUGCUCGGAACUCUUCUGCCCCUUGUUUCCUGAUUCUAUCAACUGGUGGCUUUUCUCUUACCACUGUACCUGUGACUGAGGAAGCUUGAGCUACAUGGGUAGCCUGAGAAUCAUGAGGGGGUGGAGGUCUAACUGCCGGAUUCGUACGAAUGAACUCGGCAAACAAAUCAUUCAAAGCUCGGAAGAGAGCUUCUCGAGUCACUCCUUUCUGAUCAACUAUUACUGGCCUAUUCUCAGAUGGCGCUGCCCCUUCUAUUGGAGCAGUCGCAUUACUUUCUACAUCAUCAUCACCAGCUCGUCCGGGAUCCAUUACUAUAAAACAAAAUAUUUAAAAAUCGUCAAGAGUCGUCACACUAUCAAAAUACAAGUAUGGCAUGUAUAGCUAGACUUUUUCUCACACUAACUAUUCCGAGAACCGACUAAACCUACUCUGAUACCAAUAAAUGUAACACCCCCACACUCGAAACCAUCACCGGAGUCAAGCUUGAGGUAUUACUAAACUUAUCUUACCUUUUAAACAACUCUAAACCACUUAUUUUAAUUUUUAGAAUAAACUGUUUUUCUGCAUCAUGGUUGCUUAAAAAUCUAUUUCUCGAGUUUCAAAACUCAAAAUUUAGAUCCGUAAAUUUUUCCUGAAACUAGACUCAUAUAUCUAUCUACUAAUUAUUUUCUAGAAUUUUUUACUUGGCCAAUUAGUACAGUUUAUUAGUUAAAGUUUCCCCUGUUUCAAAACUCGACUGCACUGACCUCUUCUUACUACGAACCAUGUUUCUUCCUGUAAAAAAUUCAUAUGACUAAGUUGUUUAUUUCUCUCAAAACUAGAUUCAACAAGGAUUAUAACCAUAUAAAUUACACUUUCUAAUUAGUUUUUUACAAUUUAUGGUGAAUUUCCAAAGUUGAAAUAGGGGAUCCAGAAAUCGCUCUGAUCCUGUUUCACUAAAACUCCGAUAUCUCAUAAAAUAUAAUACCUUUACCUGUUUUGCUUAUUCCAUAAGAAAAUAUACAUAAUAAGAUUUAAUUUAAUAUAUUAUUCAUCUUCAAACUAUGUUUCUACAAUUUUUAGUGAUUUUUUUAAAGUUACGUCAUUUCUGUUACUUGAAUCUGCUUUUAGGUUACUUUCACAUUUUUCAUAAUUUUCAUGUGAUAAUCAUCAUUCAAUCAUACAUAUUAAUAAACAUGUAUAUCAUCGGCUAUUUUAUUAGCUAAUCACUAGCAAGUAUUUACACAUCAUUCAUUGUUCAUAUUAUACCAAAAGUAGCUAAGUUUCUAUACAUGCCAUACCCAAAACAAAACGUCUAGUUAUACCGAGUUAUUUCUUUGAUAGUGUGAUCGGCCUCCGACGUUUCCUUCGAUCCCCGAGUGACUAGAUAAGUACUGUAAGAAGAAAAAAAUAAAGAGAUUAAGCACUAGGCUUAGUAAGCUUACAAGCAAAUAAAUCACAACAUUCAACAUAAUGGAUAAUUAUGCAUAAUAUCAUCUAACAUCAUAAAUUUAUUUACUUCUCAAUUUCUAUCUUCUUCUUUAUUCCCUUACCUUCUUUCUUACCUGACCUUUCCUUUUUCAUAAGUAUAAUCUACUUUUCCUUUGCUGUUAAUUCACUGUAAUUUAACUCGUAUCCUGACCCGUUGAACCACUCGGAAUACUAAGGAUACCAGGGUCGUUCCUGUCUAUCAAUAUCCUGCCAAUGCCAUAUCUUUGGCAUGGACUUACAUGAAUUAUUCCUGUCUCCAAUGCCAUAUAUAAUAUGGACUUACAUGGCUCAAUCCUGUCUCCAAAGCCAUAUUUCUAAUAUGGACUUACAUGGCUCAUUUCUGUUCUGUCCUGUCAACCCUAAUAUCCUAACAUUCCUAGGGUUCAACCGGGGCUUUCUAACACUUUUCCUCUGUCACUUCACCUUAAAUUCGACUUUAAAUAUUUUCAUAACAUAAUAUAUAAAUGCUGGAAAUUGAAAAUAAUAAUGUAAAAUAAAAGAAUAUUGCAUUUAUUUACUGUAACUUACCUUGAUACAAAAUGUGACUAAACUUUACAAUUUAGUCAUUUACUUUUUCUUUUCCCCGAUCUACUCCCGAAUUUCGUUCUUCUUGAUCUAUAAUAGCAAAUUUAAAUUAUUUAAUAUUCACAUUUAUUAAAACAGUCCUUGACCCAACUUUUGCAUAAUUAUAUUUUUACCCUUAAACUUUCACAUAUUUGCACUUUUGCCCCAAGGCUCGUAAAUUAAACUUCAUCCUAUUUUCUUAUGUUUUAUGACAUGCUGAUCAUUUUUCCCUUCUAUGGCAAUAUCAAAAUCACACUCUAACAUAUACUUAUGACUAUUGGUAUUUUUUUCCAAUUUAAGCCAUUUUACUCGUUUUCACUUAAAACCGAGUAGCAUAAGUUGUUUAACAUAAUUUAAAACCUCAUAUUCUAUCAUAAAACACCAAAAUACACAAAUUUCAGCCAUGGGUAUUUUUCCAAAUAUGAACCCUAGGUUGAAUUAUUGCUAGAAUAAGCUUAAUCAAGUUACCGGGACUCCAAAAACGUAAAGAUCAUUAAAAACGGGGCUUGGAAUCACUUACUAUGAAGCUUGAAAGUUGAAGAAACCCCAGCUAUGGAGGAGAGCAAAAAUCGCCAGAAACUAAUUGAGAAGAUAACCAUUUUUGUGUUAUUUUUCCCUUUUUAAUUCAUUUAAUAUCCAAAUGACCAAAUUACCCCUCCUUACUAAACUUUCAAAUAUUCCUUCCAUGUCUUAAUUUUUGACCAUGAACUUAAAAUUGGUCAAAUUUUUAUUUAAACCCUCCUAAGUAAUUUCAUACUAAAAACUUCUAGAAUGCAAGUUUUGCAAAUUAUUCGAUUUAGUCCCUAACCUCAACUUAAGCACUUUAUGCAUAGAAUUUCAUCAUGAAAUUUUCACACAAUCAUGCAAUCAUACCAUGAACCUCAAAAUAAUAAUAAAAUAAAUUUUUCUACCUCGUAUUUGUGGUUUCGUAACUACUAUUCCGUUUAGGCCCUAUUUCGGGAUGUUACAACUAAUUCACAUUCAAAGUUAAAUUUCCUUCGUCAAGUCCCUUGGGGCAUCAUUUUGCUGAAUGCUAACCAAUGUUGACUAUUCUAGAUAUAUACCACAUCAAAUCCCAUGCAUACAUAUAAGAAUGUUAAAUUAGAUUAACUGCAGAUGACAGAUAGAUAAAGCAGAUUUUGAGAAAUUAAUUACAGAUUGAAUUCAUGUUAGAGCUGGUUAGGUUUUUGGCCUCUUAAAUUACAUUGGGUUUAGUUUUUUCAUUUAAAUACGAUAACACAUGCAGAUAACAUGUGCCAAUGUUCUGCAUAUAUUUUGUGUACUAUAUUCUGGUUAAAAUUAAAAAUAGUUUCAGAUUCUGAAUAUCUAAUACAUUACAGAUCAUGCCCCAGCUUUUGGGUUUAAUUCCAUUUUGAAGAUUUUUAUUUACUCUCGUGGUGUUGUUUUUUUUCUGUGUUCUAAUUUUUAAUUGAUUUCUUUUGUAUACAAUCAUAUGUGCAACAUGUUAGCUCAGUAUACAAAGAAAUGUCUUGAUACGGGGUUACGCGCGGACCAAGAUCGAGUUGCCAAGUCACGAGAAACUCCUACGAAAACCCUAAACAAUUAGAUCUGAAACGAAACAGAAAAUUAAAAGAUUAGAUUUUUAAAUUUUCAGAUCUGAAAUAAAAUCCCCAAAACAGUAAAGAAUCAAAUAGAGAAUAGAAAUAAGUGUUAAUAAGGAAUCUUGAAACCCUAGAAGAGAUUGCGAUUCUGCCCAAUUGAACACCCAGAUAGUUUUCCCCAAAUUUUGGCAAUCUAAUUUCUCCCAAAAAGAGUAUGGAUGAAUCGGCAAGGACCCUAGAAAUUGGGGAUUUUUGGGCUAAUUCCUUAAUAUAGAAAAAGGCUGAAAACACAAUAAGAACAGAAAAUAAAUUAGAUAAAGAUUCGGCACAAGCAGAAAUAAAGAAAGAAUUGACAAUAAGAAAUUAAAAGAUAAGUCCUAAGAAGCCUUGAAAUCCCGAAAGAUCUCACAACUCCUUUCAAACGGCUCUAAUCUCCCCUCCAAAGAAUAUCAAUGGCAAGAAGAAGGUUGAAGAUGGCUCCCACAAUCAAAAAGAUUGUUAAAACAACUUCUAAAGAAAACUCAAGAGAAAAUCCUUGAAGAACUCAAAGAGAAUUUUCACUCAAAUCAAAUCUGAAAUUUUCAAUGUAAUUGUAAUGUAAUGUAGGGUGGCUGGCCAAGCCAUAUAAAUAGGCCUUUCAAAUGUUUUCCUAAUUUAAUUAGAACACUAAAACUAAAACUAAAAAAAAAAAACUCCUAAUUAUUUUAAUAUGGAAAUUCGGCCAAGGGUCUUUUAUUUGGAACUCUUGGACUGAAUAUAAAAAUUUAAACUAAGUAAAAUAAAUAAAUAAAUAAAUAAAAAUAAAACUUUACAACUUGGGCCACUUUGACAAUUUGGCCUGAUUUUCAACUAAGUAUGGGUGGAUUUCUUGAUUGGGCUUGGAAUCUUCUUAUUGGGCCUUGCCCUCAAGAAUUUGGGCUUGUGAUCCAUCUCCUACCGAAAUUGAAUCGUUGAUGCUCGUAAUGGAGAUCCAAUGCGCUUUGGCUGCAAGAUUUGGUGUCUUGGACCAAGAUUCCCAAUAUUUGAAAUCUUGAUUUUCCCUUUCUUUUGUGUACGCAUCUAAGGCCUUACUAACAAACUCCUGGAUGGUCCCAUUUAGUUUGGAACGCAUUUGUCGGGCCUUUGAUCUCGUAUCAUUCCCCCCUUCCUCAAAAAGAUUUGACCUCGAAUCUGAAAAAUCAAAUGGGGACAAGUCAGCCACAUUAAAAGUAGAACUUACAUUGUACUCACCAGGUAGAUCAAUUUUAUAGGCAUUAUCGUUGAUCCUCUCGAGUACUUGGAAAGGCCCAUCGCCCCUUGGGUCCAACUUGGUCUUUCUUCUUGCAGGAAAUCGUUCUUUCCUCAUAUGGACCCAAACCCAAUCUCCAUGUUCUAGGACAACCCGUUUGCGCCCCUUGUUUGCUUUGUUGGUGUUGGCAUCAUAUGUUUUGGCUAUUCGUUGCCUAGCCUGCUCAUGUAAGGAUUUCACCAACUCAGCUUUCUGUUCACCAUCUAAAUUAACAAUGUGUUCAAGUGGUAAUGGCGCAAGAUCAAGUACUGUUAGUGGGUUAAAACCAUAAACAAGUUCAAAUGGAGAAUAACCAGUUGUAGAAUGAAUAGAUCUAUUAUAUACAAAUUCAACAAACGGUAGGCAUUCUUCCCAAUUUCUAAUGUUCUUUCCCACAACAGAUCGUAAUAAAGUCCCUAAGAUCCGAUUAACUACUUCGGUUUGGCCAUCAGUUUGGGGGUGACAUGUAGUGGAAUAAAGUAAUUUAGUACCAAGCUUACCCCACAAUACCUUCCAAAAGUGGCUAAGAAAUUUGACAUCUCUGUCAGAAACAAUUGUUUUAGGGAUGCCAUGAAGUCUUACCACUUCUUUAAAGAAUAAGUCUGCUACAUGCGUAGCAUCAUCUGUUUUGUGACAAGAAAUAAAAUGUGCUAUCUUUGAGAACCUGUCAACAACAACAAAUAUACUAUCUCUUCCUUUCUUAUUUCGAGGCAAACCUAGAAUAAAGUCCAUGGAUAAAUCUACCCAAGGUGAAGUAGGAAUCGGUAAAGGAGUGUAAAGGCCAUGAGGCAUUACCUUAGAUUUUGCUUGUUUGCAUGUAAUGCACUUGGAACAUACCUUUUCGACAUCCUUUUUCAUAUGUGGCCAAUGGAAGUGUUCUUGCAAGAUAUCCAGUGUUUUGGCCACUCCAAAAUGUCCCAUUAAACCUCCACUAUGGGCCUCAUAGAUCAAUAAGUCUCUCAUGGAACACUUUGGUAUGCAUAAUCUGUUCAUACGAAAAAGAAAGCCAUCUACAAGAUAAAAUUUAUCGAAAGCAGUAUGUCCACAAUUCUUAUAGAUAUGGCCGAAAUCAGCAUCAUCAUCAUAUAGUUCCUUAAUAUGUUCGAACCCUAAGACUUUAGCAUUCAAUGUAGUUAUUAAAGUAUAUCGUCUAGACAAAGCAUCUGCAAUUACAUUAUCUUUACCUGUUUUAUAUUGUAUCACAUAAGGGAAUGUUUCAAUGAAUUCUACCCAUCGAACAUGUCUUUUACUCAACUUACCUUGUCCCUUUAACCAUUUAAGAGAUUCGUGAUCUGUGUGUAUGACAAACUCAUUAGGCAGCAAAUAAUGUUGCCAUACUUGAAGUGCACGAACUAAUGCUAAUAGUUCUUUGUCAUAAGUCGAGUAGUUUAACUGUGCACCAUUCAAUUUCUCACUAAAAUAAGCAAUAGGUUGCUUAUCUUGCAUUAAAACAGCGCCAAUUCUAAUUCCUGAAGCAUCACACUCAAGUUCAAAAGUUUUAGCAAAAUCAGGUAAUUUAAGCAAAGGAGCAGAACAUAACUUAGCUUUUAGAGUUUGAAAGGCCUUUUCUUGGGUUUCACCCCAUUUGAAACCCACUGAUUUCUUUAUAACCUCUGUCAAUGGGGCAGCAAUAGUAGAGAAAUCUUUCACAAAUCGUCUAUAAAAACUAGCGAAACCAUGGAAAGAUUUCACCUCAGUUAUCGAUUUAGGAGUCGGCCACUCCUUAAUUGCCUUGACUUUGUCCUCGUCGACAUGAAUACCUUGAGCACUAACUAUGAAACCUAAGAAUAUUAGUUUAUCACAACAGAAUGUGCAUUUAUCAAGGUUGGCAAAUAAUUUUUCAGUUCGCAGAAUAUCCAAAACGGUUCUAACAUGGAAAACAUGAUCAUCUAACGACUUGGAGUAAAUUAAAAUAUCAUCAAAGUAAACUACUACAAAUUUACCCAACUGAAGCCUUAAAACAUGAUUCAUUAAUCUCAUAAAUGUACUAGGUGCAUUAGUAAGGCCGAAAGGCAUAACUAACCAUUCAUACAAUCCAAAUUUUGUUUUAAAAGCUGUUUUCCAUUCAUCCCAUUCCCUCAUUCGAAUUUGAUGAUAACCGCUUUUUAAAUCAAUUUUUGUAAAUAUUAUUGAACCAUGUAAUUCAUCAAGCAUAUCAUCAAGUCUAGGGAUUGGGUGUCGAUACUUUACCGUUAUCUUGUUGAUUGGGCGACAAUCAACACACAUACGAAACGUACCAUCUUUCUUUGGCACCAAUAAGACAGGAACAGCACAAGGACUUAGGCUCUCACGAAUGUACCCUUUGUCUAGUAAGUCCUCAACUUGCCUUUGCAAUUCCUUUGUCUCCUCAGGAUUGCAUCUAUAGGCUGGUCUAUUUGGGAUUGAAGCUCUGGGUAUUAAGUCAAUUUGAUGUUCUAUCCCUCGUAAAGGUGGUAAACCUUUAGGGGCCUCACUAAAAACAUCCUCAUAAUCCUGCAAAAGAGAUUGAAACACACUAGGCAAAUUUUCGUUAAUGUUAGAUAAAGAUAAAUAAUUUUGCUUAAACCUCACAAGGAUACAAGGCUGUUUAUUAAGUAGGGCUCUCUUCACAUCUUUUUUUGUUGCCAAAAGAUUUUUUUCGCUCAUUUUACCACUAGAGGAUUCACUCACCUUUGGGCUUUUUAAAUUUUGACUUUUUCCACUACUAUUAGCCUCUUUUCUCUCUGUCUUUUGUACUUGCUCUUUCUCCCUUACCCCAUCACAAAAUUUUAUCAUCCUCAAUUGAUCUUUAUAUACGUCAGUAGGAUUUAAAGGAGCAAAAGUGAAUUUCUUACCUUUAAAUACAAGGGAGUAUCGAUUAAGUUUACCUUGGUGUGUAACAUCGCGAUCAAAUUGCCAAGGUCGUCCAAGGAGCAAAUGUGCCGCAUGCAUUGGGACUACGUCACACCAUACUUCAUCUUCAUAAUUGCCGAGUUUAAAAGUGACCAAGGACUAUUUCGUAACUUUAACUUCGGAACAUUCAUUAAGCCACUGAAGGUGAUAUGGCUUAGGGUGUUUGGUGCAAGGUAACUUUAAAGAAUCAACCAAAUAGCUACUCACCACAUUUGAGCAACUACCACUAUCAAUAAUGAGUGAACAUAAGUUACCUUUAAUAAAACACCGAGAAUGGAAAAUAUUGGCCCUUUGGCUAUCAUCAUCUUUCAUCUGAAUGUUAAGGGUUCGACGAACUACAAGGCAUUGAAAAUCAGUAAAGUCUCCUUCUCUGGGUGGUUCAACCAACUCUUCGCCAUUAUCACUGUCAUCAACAAGUUCUGGCAUAUCUGGAUCUGUUUUAUCAGAGUCGGAAGUAUACUCACCAUUAUCUUUUAGAAGAAGGAAUCUCGUGUUAGGGCAUUCCCUACUAUAAUGACCACGCCCUUUGCACUUAAAACAUUCAACCUCACGAGUCCUCUUCACACUCGAAUCACCUAAAUUGGGCUGCUUAGAAGGUGUUUGCGUUUUAGCAGGAGCCCCUUUUUUCCAAUCUGACUGCUUGUUACUCAAAGAAGACUUAUUAGUAACAAAAGGUGGUUUUGAACUCUUAAAAUCAGAAUUGGAAUUGUUACCUCGGUAAUAUUGUGAAGUAGAGAAUGACCCAAACCUUUGUUCCUUUAAUUGUUGCUCGAUCUCAGUGGCUUUGUGAACUGCUUCUUCUAAAUCAAUAUAAGUUUGUAGCCUCAAUGUAUUAGCUAUCGGCCUGUUCAAACCAUCAAUGAAUCGAACCAUAGUUGUUUCUUCAUCCUCUUCUAUGUUAGCUCUCUGAAUGAGCAUCUCCAUCUCUUUAAAAUAUUCAUCCACCGUCCUACUACCUUGGAUAAGUCUUCUCAGCUUUGUUUUAAUUUCUCUAUAGUAGUGAGGUGGAAUAAACCUUUUACGCAUAAUCUGUUUCAACUCAUCCCAUGUCGAAAUCUCACCUUCAUAAUUCCGAUGGCGGUUUACCCCAAGUUGAGUCCACCAACUUAAUGCAUAAUCAGAAAAUUCCAGUGUUGCUAACGCUACCUUUUCAUCAUCUGGACAUUUAUAAUACCGAAACAUAAGUUCAAUCUUAGAUUCCCAUUCACAAUAAGCGUCAGGAUCAUUCUUACCACGAAAUUGGGGAAUUGUGAAUUUCGGUUUUGCCAAAGAAGGUUGCCCACGAUCAUGAAAAUCAUUAUCCAUUCUAGUGACACGUCGAGGGCCGCGCCUUUGGGGUUGGUUAUCCCUAUCUUCUUUGAUUGGAUGAGGUUCUUGAUUCAAUCGCACCUCAUUGAUGGUAGCAGUCAAAGCUCAAAGAGCAGCAGCCUGUUCAUCCAACUGUUGUUGGAAUUUUUUAAAUAUGUCACCAUUAUUAUCACCUGUAGACAUUUUUUUUAAAAAUCUGCAAAACACUCAACACUCAAAAAUAAAAGUUAGCAAACCUCACCGUUAAUCACUAAAAAAGAAAAUUCAAAUUCUCAAUGAGGUAGAAUUCAAUCUUGUGAGUUCUUUAUCAAAGUUUAUAUCAACCAAUUAGAGAGUGGAUGAACCGAUCUACCAAAGAAUCCUAAUGUGCACUAGGAUGCCAAAAACUGACGAGACACCAAUUGAUUCGUGUUGCACCGAGGAAGAAUUGGGCACACGUUUAAAUCCUACUAACACAAAAAACAAGAAGGUGUUAGAUAUUGUAAAGGGAGAAUAAAAAGCAAACAAAUGAAAACCUACAGCUAAGAAUCAAUAAAAAUUGUUGAAAACAGAAAACCCGAAAAACUGCGGAGUAACUUGACAACUUCGUUCGAGGUGUUCCCGAUGUCAAAAAAUCACAAAAUUAAAUCUGGAAUGUCUUCAAAUAUUGAAUUUUUGAUCUGGAAAAUUUGGGCACCAAAUUCAACCCGCUGAAUAUUUUUUUAAUUUUUUAUCGGAUUUCGUCUUUUUUAAAUUUUUUGACUUUUUAGACUUAUUUUUUUGCGGGAAAUAUUUUUGUAUAUUCAAUAACAGUGCCAAAAAUAUGUAUGUAAAAUUUCAGAUCAAUCAGAAAACGUUUACCCACUCAAAUGAAUUUUUUUUCGAAAAUUUUUCUGGGUAAAACUGUUGUUUGUAAUUUAAAAAAUAGAGAUCAGUUUAGAAAUCAACCAAGAACACCCAAAACGCCCAAAAUCUGAUACCAAAUGAUACGGGGUUGCGCGCGGACCAAGAUCGAGUUGCCAAGUCACGAGAAACUCCUACGAAAACCCUAAACAAUUAGAUCUGAAACGAAACAGAAAAUUAAAAGAUUAGAUUUUUAAAUUUUCAGAUCUGAAAUAAAAUCCCCAAAACAGUAAAGAAUCAAAUAGAGAAUAGAAAUAAGUGUUAAUAAGGAAUCUUGAAACCCUAGAAGAGAUUGCGAUUCUGCCCAAUUGAACACCCAGAUAGUUUUCCCCAAAUUUCGGCAAUCUAAUUUCUCCCAAAAAGAGUAUGGAUGAAUCGGCAAGAACCCUAAAAAUUGGGGAUUUUUGGGCUAAUUCCUUAAGAUAGAAAAAGGCUGAAAACACAAUAAGAACAGAAAAUAAAUUAGAUAAAGAUUCGGCACAAGCAGAAAUAAAGAAAGAAUUGACAAUAAGAAAUUAAAAGAUAAGUCCUAAGAAGCCUUGAAAUCCCGAAAGAUCUCACAACUCCCUUCAAACGGCUCUAAUCUCCCCUCCAAAGAAUAUCAAUGGCAAGAAGAAGGUUGAAGAUGGCUCCCACAAUCAAAAAGAUUGUUAAAACAACUUCUAAAGAAAACUCAAGAGAAAAUCCUUGAAGAACUCAAAGAGAAUUUUCACUCAAAUCAAAUCUGAAAUUUUCAAUGUAAUUGUAAUGUAAUGUAGGGUGGCUGGCCAAGCCAUAUAAAUAGGCCUUUCAAAUGUUUUCCUAAUUUAAUUAGAACACUAAAACUAAAACUAAAAAAAAAACUCCUAAUUAUUUUAAUAUGGAAAUUCGGCCAAGGGUCUUUUAUUUGGGACUCUUGGACUGAAUAUAAAAAUUUAAACUAAGUAAAAUAAAUAAAUAAAUAAAUAAAAAUAAAACUUUACAACUUGGGCCAUUUUGACAAUUUGGCCUGAUUUUCAACUAAGUAUGGGUGGAUUUCUUGAUUGGGCUUGGAAUCUUCUUAUUGGGCCUUGCCCUCAAGAAUUUGGGCUUGUGAUCCAUCUCCUACCGAAAUUGAAUCGUUGAUGCUCGUAAUGGAGAUCCAAUGCACUUUGGCUGCAAGAUUUGGUGUCUUGGACCAAGAUUCCCAAUAUUUGAAAUCUUGAUUUUCCCUUUCUUUUGUGUACGCAUCUAAGGCCUUACUAACAAACUCCUGGAUGGUCCCAUUUAGUUUGGAACGCAUUUGUCGGGCCUUUGAUCUCGUAUCAUGUCUACUUCACAAUAGGGGAGUGCUUGCGAUUAUAACAGUUUCUUUGCCUGUAGUGCUUCUCAUACUAAUGGCCCUUUCGCGUUGCUUUCUAAGAAGGCAAAUAAGAGGUACGUCUCAUAUUUUUUCUGUACUAGCUUUUUUUUAUUCAAAUUUUAAUCGUUGCCAUAGGAUAUAAUUUGCAAUUGAAUUGACAGCAGGAAGAGCAAGAAAAAGCAAAAAUAUCUUUAGCUUUACCUCAUUCAAAGACUCUUUAGGUGAAAAAGAGAUUGAUGAGAGCAGAAGAAAUGAGAUUUACCCUACUUUGAUUUGGGCACCAUAGCCGCUGCCACUAAUAAUUUCUCUUCUGAUAAUAAACUUAGGCAAGGUGGCUUUGGCCCUGUCUACAAGGUAGUUUUUCUCUAAAAAAAACAUGUGGAAGUGCAAUAAAACUCCUUAUCUGUACUUGAAGGAAAAUUCUUUGUAUUUGCAGGGUGUGCUCUUAAAUGGAAAAGAAAUAGCAGUGAAAAGACUAUCAAAUUCCUCAAGUCAGGGACUACAAGAGUUUAAGAAUGAAAUUGUGCUAAUUGCAAAACUUCAGCAUAGGAAUCUCGUAAGGAUACUAGGAUGUUGCGUUAAGGGUGAAGAGAAGAUGUUAAUUUAUGAAUUUUUACCAAAUAAAAGCUUAGACUUUAUCAUUUUCGGUAUGUCUUCUUUCAAAUUGUUGAUUACUUAUACUAACAACUUUUGUUUUAAGUUAUGCAUGAUUCCUUUUAAAAUUUGACUUUUGAUUUUAGAUGACUCAAAAAGAUCACUAUUGGAUUGGAAAAAACGUUUGGAAAUUAUCUGUGGGAUUGCCCGAGAAAUGUUGUAUCUCCACCAUGAUUCCAGGUUAAGAGUUAUUCAUAGGGAUUUGAAAGCGAGCAAUGUAUUACUAAAUGUUGCAAUGAAUCCGAAAAUUUCUGAUUUCGGCAUGGCUAGAAUAUUUGGAGGAGACCAAAUGGAAGGGGAUACCAGACGUGAAAUUGAAACAUAGUAAGAAUUCGGUAUGCAAAGUUUGGAGAAAACUGCUACAGGUUUCAAACUUAUUCUUACUAUUUCAUUUUUGUUGUAUGAUUUUAGUGGUUACAUGUCGCCUGAAUAUGCAAUGCAUGGACACUUUUCAAUGAAAUCCGAUGUAUAUAUUAACAAUGUUUGAAUUUUGAAUGUCUCGAGGAAAAGGAUGGGGGAUUUGAUUAAGUUGUUGAUAUUAACACACCAUGAUGACAACAGAUUAAUUUGCAUGUAUGAGAAUGACAAUUCGUGAAACUAAGUUCUGAAUAGUGAUUGUACAAAAAGAGUAUAAAACUUUUUUGGGUAUUACUGGAUUUUUCCUAGUUUAAUUAAAGAUCUGAUUAUAUAUUUGUUCAAGCCAUUGAUGAAUAAGUAAAAAGUGUGAUUUCACAAGUAGAUGAAAGAAAAACUAGAAGAAAAUAGGGAUGGGUUCCUUACUUUAUCAUAGGAGACUCGUACAAGCCACGAAAUAAUUCCCACUUCUUAGCAACUUGAGUAGCGACAGGCAUCAGCUUUGGCUGCCCGCCUAAAGUCCCACAGCUGCAUUUCAUCAAACAGAUGAUAGACUAUUAGAAGGAAGCAAACAAUGCCCCAAAACGCACAGAACCAAAGCAACAAAUUCAUGCAUACCUUAGAAAGAACCUUGUAAUGGGUUCAGCUAAAAGGAAAACAAAAACAAAAUUCCAAAUUUAUCAAACCGCACUUUUACAAGGAAAGUGGCCUUAAAUAUAUAGCAACUGUAGAUUAAAUGAAAACAGCCAAGUAUUCAAGUAAUUGAAAACUAUUGCCAAGUGUUCAAGUAAUUGAAAACUAUUGCCAGACCCUAAAUAUAUAUAAACUGUAAAUUAAAGAAAAUCAACCUCAUUUAUCAUUUAACACAAAACCGAAUCAACCAUACAUACCCAUGAAGAUUGAGACAAAUCUCAACAAGUCGAAACCGAUUCACCAGCUUCUACCACUGCAGGGUUAAAGAUUUCAGGGAAUCAGUAAGGAAGGCUUUCAAAGAAGGUACCGUGAAAUGCCAGUAGUUGGAGCAGGUGGUGGACAACAGAUGUACCAAUGGGUAGAUCAGGUGGUGAACGGCAGAUGCACCAGUGCCUGGAGGAGUUUGUGGACGGCAGAUGCAAUUGGUUUUCUUUGCCCAACAAAGUUUGGAGUAAAUGCUUUUUUGUGGGUAAGAAUGAAAAUAAG
rnacentral:lncRNA from 1 species